AACGAACGCUGGCGGCAUGCCUAACACAUGCAAGUCGAACGAGACCUCCGGGUCUAGUGGCGCACGGGUGCGUAACGCGUGGGAACCUGCCCUUAGGUUCGGAAUAACUCCCCGAAAGGGGUGCUAAUACCGGAUAAUGUCUUCGGACCAAAGAUUUAUCGCCUUUGGAUGGGCCCGCGUUGGAUUAGCUAGUUGGUAGGGUAAAAGCCUACCAAGGCGACGAUCCAUAGCUGGUCUGAGAGGAUGAUCAGCCACACUGGGACUGAGACACGGCCCAGACUCCUACGGGAGGCAGCAGUGGGGAAUAUUGGACAAUGGGCGAAAGCCUGAUCCAGCAAUGCCGCGUGAGUGAUGAAGGCCUUAGGGUUGUAAAGCUCUUUUACCCGGGAUGAUAAUGACAGUACCGGGAGAAUAAGCGCCGGCUAACUCCGUG
rnacentral:rRNA from 1 species